rnacentral:rRNA from 1 species
UACGUAGGUGACGAGCGUUAUCCGGAUUUAUUGGGCGUAAAGCGCACGCAGGCGGCAGAGAAAGUCUGACGUGAAAUCUCCCGGCUCAACUGGGAAACUGCAUCGGAAACUGAUCGGCUUGAAGGUGGGAGAGGGUAGUGGAAUUCCCGGUGUAGUGGUGAAAUGCGUAGAGAUGUGGAGGAACACCGAUGGCGAAGGCAGCCCCCUGGGUCAAGAUUGACGCUCAUGCACGAAAGCGUGGGGAGCAAACAGG